AUUGAACGCUGGCGGCAUGCCUUACACAUGCAAGUCGAACGGCAGCGGACCUUCGGGUGCCGGCGAGUGGCGAACGGGUGAGUAAUAUAUCGGAACGUACCUUUCAGUGGGGGAUAACGUAGCGAAAGUUACGCUAAUACCGCAUAUUCUGUGAGCAGGAAAGCAGGGGAUCGCAAGACCUUGCGCUGAUUGAGCGGCCGAUAUCAGAUUAGCUAGUUGGUGAGGUAAAGGCUCACCAAGGCGACGAUCUGUAGCGGGUCUGAGAGGAUGAUCCGCCACACUGGAACUGAGACACGGUCCAGACUCCUACGGGAGGCAGCAGUGGGGAAUUUUGGACAAUGGGCGCAAGCCUGAUCCAGCCAUGCCGCGUGAGUGAUGAAGGCCUCGGUCGUAAGACUCUGUGGGAGGAGAAGAAUAAAGACCUGUGAAGAGCGAGGCCGUUGACGGUAUCUCCUUA
rnacentral:rRNA from 1 species